AUUGAACGCUGGCGGCAGGCCUAACACAUGCAAGUCGAGCGAGCGGCGGACGGUUGAGUACUGUCUGGGAAACUGCCUGAUGGAGGGGGAUAACUACUGGAAACGGUAGCUAAAACCGCACACCAUCAGAUGUGCCCAGAUGGGAUUAGCUGGUAGGUGGGGUAACGGCUCACCUAGGCGACGAUCCCUAGCUGGUCUGAGAGGAUGACCAGCCACACUGGAACUGAGACACGGUCCAGACUCCUACGGGAGGCAGCAGUGGGGAAUAUUGCACAAUGGGCGCAAGCCUGAGGCAGCCAUGCCGCGUGUGUGAAGAAGGCCUUCGGGUUGUAAAGCACUUUCGGUAGGGAGGCGUUACCCACAGAGGAAGCACCGGCUAACUCCGUGCCAGCAGCCGCGGUAAUAC
rnacentral:rRNA from 1 species